UGUACGCAGCCCAGAAGAAAUACCGGAGCACCCUUUCUCUACUGCCAUACCAUUGACAUGAACAGACUGAGUGAGGAGGGUUAAAAAAAGAAAAAUAAAUGAAUAAAUAAAUAAGAAAGAGAGAGAGAAAGAAAGAAAAAGAGAAAAUCUGAAAAUCACCAUACCAAUCAGACCUGUUGUCCGUCUGGUCCAGGAUCCUGUCUCUGGCAGUAGUCAGUACUCGCUUCAGAGCAGGCUCCAAGAGCUGUAGGUACACGACAGCAGGAGGAAUGGAGGGACAGACAAAAUUCUGCCACAUACAGAAGAACCCUAAUUUUAAGAAAAAAACAUAAAUGAGUUUCCUGUUUAAGUGGAGCAACUAGUAAAAGAAUAAGAAGACUACUAAAGGAAAAUUUAGCUGCGGGAAUCUAUAUGCAAGCAAAUGGAAAGAAAGCCCCAAAGAGACUUAAAAACUAUGGCCCCAAAGAGA